rnacentral:misc_RNA from 1 species
AAGUCGUAACAAGGUCUCCGUAGGUGAACCUGCGGAGGGAUCAUUACUGAGUUUACACUCUCAAACCAUGUGAAUCUACCACUGUUGCCUCGGUGGUUAGUUGUUGCCUUCGGGUGAUGGCUGCCGCCGGCGGACAAACUAAACUCUUGUCAACUUUGUCAAAUCUGAAUCAAAACUAAGAAAUAAGUUAAAACUUUCAACAACGGAUCUCUUGGUUCUG